GACGAACGCUGGCGGCGUGCCUAAUACAUGCAAGUAGAACGCUGAAGCUUGGUGCUUGCACCGAGCGGAUGAGUUGCGAACGGGUGAGUAACGCGUAGGUAACCUGCCUGGUAGCGGGGGAUAACUAUUGGAAACGAUAGCUAAUACCGCAUAAGAGUAGAUGUUGCAUGACAUUUGCUUAAAAGGUGCAAUUGCAUCACUACCAGAUGGACCUGCGUUGUAUUAGCUAGUUGGUGAGGUAACGGCUCACCAAGGCAACGAUACAUAGCCGACCUGAGAGGGUGAUCGGGCAACAUGGGACUGAGGCACGGCCCCGACUCCUACGGGGAGCAGCAGGAGGGAAUCUUCGGCAAUAGACGGAAGUCUGACCGAGCAACGCCGCGGGAGUGAAGAAGGUUGUCGGAUCGUAAAGCUCUGUUGUAAGAGAAGAACGAGUGUGAGAGUGGAAAGUUCACACUGUGACGGUAUCUUACCAGAAAGGGACGGCUAACUACGUG
rnacentral:rRNA from 1 species